rnacentral:rRNA from 1 species
GACGAACGCUGGCGGCGUGCUUAACACAUGCAAGUCGAACGCUGAAGCUCAGCUUUUGUUGGGUGGAUGAGUGGCGAACGGGUGAGUAACACGUGAGUAACCUGCCCCCUUCUUUGGGAUAACGCCCGGAAACGGGUGCUAAUACUGGAUAUUCACUGGUCUUCGCAUGGGGGUUGGUGGAAAGGGUUUUUCUGGUGGGGGAUGGGCUCGCGGCCUAUCAGCUUGUUGGCGGGGUGAUGGCCUACCAAGGCUUUGACGGGUAGCCGGCCUGAGAGGGUGACCGGUCACAUUGGGACUGAGAUACGGCCCAGACUCCUACGGGAGGCAGCAGUGGGGAAUAUUGCACAAUGGGCGCAAGCCUGAUGCAGCGACGCCGCGUGAGGGAUGGAGGCCUUCGGGUUGUGAACCUCUUUCGCUCAUGGUCAAGCCGCAACAAUGGUUGUGGUGAGGGUAGUGGGUAAAGAAGCGCCGGCUAACUACGUG